rnacentral:tRNA from 1 species
UUGAUUUACAUGGAAAAUUCAACAAUCAGAAAUACUGCUGAAUGCUGUUUUUGCGGACUUUUAAUCCGUUGGUCGCGAGUUCGAAUCUCGCAGGACCCACCA